GGGCCGGGAACAGUGGAGGGUGCGAGGAAGACAAUGGGGGAGGACCCUGAGGCGGCCUCUGUGAGCCGACAGGAACACGUGGUCGAUCAGAGAGAGACUCGAGGUUCGUGAACGGAUGGGGAGGACCCUGAAAAGCACUGUGGAAUACAGGUUUCUAGUAACUUCAAAAUCACAUCAUUUGGACUGGAACCCAAAGAUGGGAUCUUCUGAGAACAUCAGAGAAACGCUGCCCUUGGCAUCAUCACUGCAACAAAACAUCAGGAUCUUGAACCUUGGGGUCAUAAUCUCACAACUGAGCAGGGUCACUCUUGGAACUCUACAUCCAUUGAAACCCUUAAGGUAAAGCUAAUCAGGGAAGUUUCUCCCCAGAAGAAGAUGGCAUCCUUGAUGUGAGCAGCUCUUUCUGAAGAUCAUGGAUCAAGACUUCUUACUAUCAUGAGACUCUUAUCUUUGAAUGUUUUUCCGUUGCUUCCGCCUCUGUGAACAACAGAAGUGAGAAGGGGGUCUGUUUUGUGCACUUAUGGGGUAUACUUUUAUUUGUGAAGGGCUUUGCAGCCAGCUUUAUACAUGGAUAAUCUUAUAACUUGAUAGAUAAAGAUGAAGGCCCAGUGUAUCAUAGGUGAGAAACUUCAAUGGUACAUAUGGUGCCUCAUAAUCAUUCAGAAGCAGAACAUUGGUUCACUCCUCUUAACCCACAGCAUGGGUUAAAGAGACCAUUGCCAAGAGGCCUUCCCUCUUCUAGAAGGGCAUCAUUUGUUAGGUCCUUUUUCCAUGGUUUGGAAUUAAAAAGGCAAUGACUAGAAACAUAUCCCUCAUGGUAGACUCUGUAGCAGAUUCUACUGUAAAGGCUACACAACAGAUGUUAAAUUCUCUUGUGAAAGUUAUGCUAAAAAAUAGAAUUGGCUAAACAGGAAAGUACCUGUGCAGAUGCUGGCACUUAAGGCCUAUGGAGAAAACAUCAGGUGUUAUAGAGAGUCUGUUGUAGGGAAUUAACGAAAAGACCACUGAGUUAAGUCAAAGAAUGGUCUAUUUGAGUUUAGGUGGUCUGGUUUAUGGGGACCCUGGCUAAGGAGCAUACUCCAAAUUCUUGGUGUUAACCCUCUCAGUAGUCAUAAGAAUAGUCUCCCUGGUGCACUGUAUUCUCUCAAAGGUUUUAAAUGUUUGCAUGAAGCCAUCUUUAGAACGUCAGAUGGUCUCUCUUCAACUGGAAUGACAAGAGCUGAAAGAAAUGUGUGACCACGAGGACACCGAAACCGAUGAGUGACAUGCUGAGACUGGAAAUCCAAAAUGAUAGUAACGGAGAGUGGCGCUAACAUCCUAAGUUUUGGUCACACUCUUGCCUAAGUGACAACCUGACAAAGGGGGAAUUUUUUAAACAAAAUGAUGGGAGGCCAUUGUUUUGGACUGAGCACUAGGUCCCAACAGACCAAACCGAACCAAAAUGGCAUCAUUCGUGCUAAAUGUGACAUAAUCGAAUUAAGACUUUAAGGAAACACAUGGGUCCUAGAAUAGACCAGGUUUUGUUUUUCUCUUGCAAACAGGACUUUCCAGCAUAAGGUGGUAUCCUCAACUCAGUCCUUGUUCCUACCUUUGCAAAACUCACUGUUCUGCUUCCUAGUGGGUUUCAAGACCAAUGGUGACAGUGACAUCAAUAACUCAAGUUUCGAUCAAUCUCUCAAAACUGAUAAAAUGACCAAAAAGGGGGAAUUGUUAAAGCGAACUAAAUAUGGCCUGAGAAGGACUCCGUACUUCUGUAUUGGAGUCCCUGUGAACAAACUGAGCCUAACUUAAUAGGUAGACAAGAUUGAAAACCUAAAUUAGGAGUAUGUACCUGUCACAAUUGCUGAGUCUCGGCCAGUCCCAGCAGCCGUACUUCAAUCACUCAUACACUGCUGAAUGUUCAAACUGUGUGUAAAUAAGGCAAAUGCCAACCUGUAACUAAUCCAGGUGUUUCUCUACCUCACUUCCCUUUUUUUGUCUAUAAAUCUUCCACCACGUGGCUGCACUGGAGUCUCUCUGAAUCUGCUGUAAUUCUGGGGGCUGCCCGAUGUGCAAAUCAUUCAUUGCUCAAUUAAACUCCUUUAAAUUUAA
ensembl:lncRNA LINC03015 long intergenic non-protein coding RNA 3015